rnacentral:rRNA from 1 species
GACGAACGCUGGCGGCGUGCUUAACACAUGCAAGUCGAACGGAAAGGCCCUGCUUUUGUGGGGUGCUCGAGUGGCGAACGGGUGAAUAACACGUGAGUAACCUGCCCUUGACUUUGGGAUAACUUCAGGAAACUGGGGCUAAUACCGGAUAGGAGCUCCUGCUGCAUGGUGGGGGUUGGAAAGUUUCGGCGGUUGGGGAUGGACUCGCGGCUUAUCAGCUUGUUGGUGGGGUAGUGGCUUACCAAGGCUUUGACGGGUAGCCGGCCUGAGAGGGUGACCGGCCACAUUGGGACUGAGAUACGGCCAGGACUCCUACGGGAGGCAGCAGUGGGGAAUAUUGCACAAUGGGCGGAAGCCUGAUGCAGCAACGCCGCGUGCGGGAUGACGGCCUUCGGGUUGUAAACCGCUUUCGCCUGUGACGAAGCGUGAGUGACGGUAAUGGGUAAAGAAGCACCGGGUAGCUACGUG